rnacentral:rRNA from 1 species
GACGAACGCUGGCGGCGUGCUUAACACAUGCAAGUCGAACGGAAAGGCCCUGCUUUUGUGGGGUGCUCGAGUGGCGAACGGGUGAGUAACACGUGAGUAACCUGCCCUUGACUUUGGGAUAACUUCAGGAAACUGGGGCUAAUACCGGAUAGGAGCCCCUGCUGCAUGGUGGGGGUUGGAAAGUUUCGGCGGUUGGGGAUGAACUCGCGGCUUAUCAGCUUGUUGGUGGGGUAGUGGCUUACCAAGGCUUUGACGGGUAGCCGGCCUGAGAGGGUGACCGGCCACAUUGGGACUGAGAUACGGCCCAGACUCCUACGGGAGGCAGCAGUGGGGAAUAUUGCACAAUGGGCGGAAGCCUGAUGCAGCAACGCCGCGUGCGGGAUGACGGCCUUCGGGUUGUAAACCGCUUUCGCCUGUGACGAAGCGUGAGUGACGGUAAUGGGUAAAGAAGCACCGGCUAACUACGUG